rnacentral:lncRNA from 1 species
GAAAAUUUCUCUAUUGCCCUGCGCCGAAGAAACAUAGCCUAAAUCGAAUUAAAGAAAAACUUACUUCCUGAAAAAAAAUCAAACAAGACAUGUGAGUUUUCUAAGGAGUAAUAAUUUUUGCACCACACACGCAGUCACACAAAUGUGUAAACAUAUUAAUCUAGUCGUCUGACUAGUUAUAUGCUCACGCAGCUAGUCACACAAAUGGCAAAUCACCAGCACUCACAAUCAUUAACAUCUUCAUAUAAUCACAUCACGUGGAAAUU